GGAGAGUAACCCUAUCAGGCGAUAGGCGCUGUUUGCUAAACAGAUGGAGUUAAUGCUUGUGGUUCGAGUCCACUGCUCUCCG
rnacentral:tRNA from 1 species